ensembl:lncRNA
AGGGGUUUGUUAGGGACAGAGCCUCCCUGGGGUAGGAGGUGACUGUUCACAGACCUGGAAAGCAGCACCCGGGGCGCUGCCAGGCAGGAGUGUCGGGCUGCCUGGAGGCGGGGUCCCCUGGCUGGCGCCGUGGAGUGGCUGUCAGGCUGCUGUGCAGGGUGAUGUGAGUGCAGGACUUGUUUCUGGGGGGUGGAACCAUUUUUCUGGGGUCUCUCUAGAAGGACUGGACUGAGUGAUCCUCACUGUUGGGCCUGGCCCAGACCUCGCCAGGGAGGGACUGGGACUGGGGAGGGGUUGAGCCAGGGAGUGAGGGGCCCCGCACCGUGUGCCCCAGAGCGUGGUGGGCUCAGGGCCAGUCGUCCUUUAUAGAGGCAGGUUGACUUUCUGUGUCCAGCCAGCCUUUAGAUAAUUUUUUCAGACUCCCAGCAACUGAGGUUCAGCCUCUAGCUUGAAAUUCCAUACAUGCCACACAUGACUCUGAAAACAGCAUAGCUAUGUACUUAGGGCCAUUUCUUCUUGUUUUGAGCCUCACGUUACUAAAGCUCCCUUUUUCUGUUGUUGGCAGGGAUAGGUAGGGUACAGGCUAGGAAGGAAUCACUCUCUCCACAGAGCACUUUAUAAAAGCCCAGUCUCCAAACCCUGGGGUGCCCACUGCCACGUAGCCAGGAAAUAUGGACCUGGGUGAUGAAGUUGUGGUCCAGAGCACUGUGCCCAUGGGGCAUGACAAACUGAUGGGCAGGAGCCGGGGCCCCCAGCCUGGCUCAGGAGUGUCCUCACUUGCUCGGUCACCUGAGGGCCGUUGGGCCGAAGGAAUCCUGUGCUCAGGGCCUCGGCUGCCGUGGGGCAGCGCUGAGACCUCUGAGAGGGUUCCGCUUUGGCGUCCUGCUGGGAGUUCUGAAUGUAUUUUCAAAACCCAUCAAUGUCAUAUGUAUCCGUGCCUUUUCGUAUUAUCUCUGGUAUUUCUGUAUGUAUUUAUUCAUGCCCUGCCUUGUUCCAGGAAAGGGCUCAAGGUUGUCACGCUUAGUUUUGAUGUUCUCUUUUGAUGUUUGGUGAGUUUUAGUCAACAAGCGCUUGUUAAACAGGACAUUUUAAAAAGAAAGGACAGUUUCUUUCUUUUUCAACACAAUUUCCUCAUGUUGAAUAUGUUUCUGUUAUCAGACCUACGUGCCAUCAUUUUUCCCCUUUCUUCUGUGAAUUGACUCUUCAAAUGGAAGGUUCAUGCAGCAGUGUAAGAGGAGCCUGCAGGCAAGGCUGGACCGAGGCAGGGAAAGUCCGCCUUGGAGAAUGCACUUCUGUGCUGAGCUGCCUCCUGCCUGGCCCUGAGCAGGCCUGGCCCUGGGGAGGCCACCUUCUGACGGCAGGGCCGGCCAUUCCUUUCUCGUGGGGCUCUCAUGAGGACACACGGGACAAUGUCUGUGAAAGCACUGGGCCCUUGAGCCGUCCUGGUGGCGUGUCAGCAGUGUCUCUGUGCGCGUGGUCCCUCUUCUCGGCGGAUGUGCCUUUGAGGUGGUGGCGGCCUGUGGCCUUGCUGGUCGGCUGGGCUUUGUGCCCGGGGGACGGUGAGAGUUGUGGCAGCCGUGACACAGGUGUCCUGUGCAGGUAGAAGGGCAGGGACGCGCGUGGAGUCACAGGGGAAGCCAGGUGUGCUCCAUUUAGAGGGUCGUCUUAGUCUGAGGUACGUUCUUCCUAAUUUGGGUGAUAAAAUGUCCUUUUAUGUAGUGAAGGUGAUAAUUGAGGGCGACAUUGUUGGUUUUUUUAAUGCACCUGGUUGCAGAAUAAAAUGUUGGCUGCCCUUCGUCAGAUCCCAGAACUUCUUUUUAAGUUGGCCAGGCUCUGAGAGCCAGCGUCGGGACCCACAGUCUGUCUAUAGCCUGUGUUCACGACUGAGGAGUCCCUCCUGGAGUCUCCAGCGGCCUGUCCGCAGCUGAAGGAGAGCCCGUGGCUCUGCUGCCUCGUGGUCCGGGGACAGGCCCUGUGGUCACCGGGAGGAUUA